rnacentral:rRNA from 1 species
AGAGUUUGAUCAUGGCUCAGAAUCAACGCUGGCGGCGCGCCUAACACAUGCAAGUCGAACGAGAAAGUGGAGCAAUCCAUGAGUAAAGUGGCGUACGGGUGAGUAACACGUGGAUCAUCUACCUUUUAGUGAGGAAUAACCAUGGGAAACCGUGGCUAAUACCGCAUAAGCCCGAGAGGAGAAAGUCGCAAGACGCUGAAAGAGGAGUCCGCGGCCGAUUAGCUAGUUGGCAGGGUAAAAGCCUACCAAGGCAAAGAUCGGUAGCCGGCCUGAGAGGGCACACGGCCACACUGGCACUGAAACACGGGCCAGACUCCUACGGGAGGCAGCAGUGGGGAAUCUUGCACAAUGGGGGAAACCCUGAUGCAGCGACGCCGCGUGAGCGAUGAAGCCCUUCGGGGUGUAAAGCUCUUUCGUCAGGGAAGAUAGUGACGGUACCUGGAGAAGCAGCUGCGGCUAACUACGUGCCAGCAGCCGCGGUAAUACGUAGGCAGCGAGCGUUGUUCGGAGUUACUGGGCGUAAAGGGUGUGUAGGCGGUUGUUUAAGUUUGGUGUGAAAUCUCCCGGCUUAACUGGGAGGGUGCGCCGAAUACUGAAUGACUUCGAGUGCGGGAGAGGAAAGUGGAAUUCCUGGUGUAGCGGUGAAAUGCGUAGAUAUCAGGAGGAACACCGGUGGUGUAGACGGCUUUCUGGACCGUAACUGACGCUGAGACACGAAAGCGUGGGUAGCAAACAGGAUUAGAUACCCUGGUAGU